rnacentral:lncRNA from 1 species
UCAGGGGAUUAAUUUAUUACAGCAGAAGAUGUGCCCUCUAAAUCCGGCUGCAACCAAAUAAAACUAUUUCCCUAUCUUCAGUGCUAUCUUAGGUGCCUUGCCUUGUCUGUUCCUUCAACAGUAUAAUUCUAUAUACUUAAACAUUGUUCAUGUUUUCAUGAAAUGGUCAACAGAUGUGAUUAAUUGUGUGCUGCAAAUAACAAAAUAUCUCUUAUUAAAAUGAAAUAAUUUGCCUAAAUUCAGAAAUUUACAAGGAUUAUUUAAAAAUGUUAAAAAAAAAGAAAGAGUUAACAAAUAGGAAAGAGAAAUUAGAAGGUUCUAGGUAUGGAUUUAAUAGAAGGAAAAUGUGUUUCUGGAUAAGAGAGUCUGUUAAGUAAAUAAGAGGGUUUAAGUAAGUGCUAAAGAAGGUCUGUAUAUACAACUAUGGUUAAACAACAACUGUUAUUUUGCAGUAUUGUAAUAUGUUAUUUCUCUAAAAGCUAAACUUGACUAAUAUAAAAACAUCAAUAAUAAUUGUGGUACUAUUACUCUUCUUUGUAUAUUGAAUGUGCUCAUAUUUUCCAGGUAUAUGUCAUUAAGAUAGAAGCUUUAAAAAACGUAUAUCAAGCUGGUGUUCUCCAAAAGGUUGCAUGGUUAUUUUAGGCUUAUAAAAAUAACAUAUUGGAGAUUUAUUUAUAUCAUUUAAUGUUUUAUAACUGGACCUGUUAUCAAUAAGAUUAAUAUAAAGUUCUAUACACUGGGUACAAUUUAAAUGUAAUAUCAUAUUGUGUUAGCUAGUAUUCAUGUGACAUCAAGCAACAAUAUAUGUAAACUUUAUAAAAUAAUAUUUUUUAAAAAAAAAUAUCAGCUUCAAUACUAGAACACUUUGCCUAAGAUUUAUAAAGAGCCCUGGCUUACCUGAGAUAGGCUGUGCUUCCCAUCUUACUACAUGUAAGAAUGACUCCAAAGUAGGCCAAACUUCAGCUAAAGCCCAAUACUCUUAAUUUAGGGUGAAACUGACUUUGCUGGAUGUUUAUGAUCAAGACUUAAAGUUAAACUAAAAUGGCCAAAGAAAACAAUAUUUGGCUCUGGCCCUCUGAGUCAGUCUGAAUCCAGGGAACAGGGAACUUCUCUAAAGAGCUUUGCAACUCUGGGCCACAUAACCUCCUGAUCAGGGAGAUUAAUGAGACCACUGGAGAAUAAAAAGCCAAUCAGUGCAUUUGCUGUGAAUAGGAGGGUCAUUGGAGACAGGAGACAUCCCUGAUGCUUCCAAGGAAAGCCACAUGGUCAAGCAAGACCUGGACCCAUCCUAGCGCAAAUGGCACUAGCAGAACUAAGAAGCUGCUCUCAGGUUCCCCCACGAGCGACCCCUAUGGGAACUCAGCUGACUCUUAACAAUAGAUAGAAACAAAGUCAAUUUUGACCAACUUGGUCUUAAACACCUACCAAAACCAGUUAAGCCAAAACCAGUCAUUCCUGGGAGUAAUGAAGGACAAGAACAGCUAGAAAAGAGGAGACAACAACUAAGCCAACAGGCUCCAUGGGGAAUGUUCAGUUAAGUAUGGCCUUGGCUCCUCCCCCUCACAGGACCCCUAUUAGUCCUCUCUAUGUUUCUCCUAAUAGGACCCUGUCUAUUAAAUUGCCAACAGAAGUUCAUGCAAGAUCAGAUACAUAAAUUCACCAACAAGCUGGUCAAUCAACUACUUCUUUAAGACUACCAGCCCUGAUGCCCAAGAUGGACACCUACGACUCAUGACCAACUCCUCUGGCUCCAGAGACUCUGUGCCCAUCUAAAACCCUCUCUAACCCUUUUUUCCAAUUUUCACAACCCCUCUUUCACUUCCUAGGAAUGAGAACUACUCUCCAGCAUGUCCACUCUGCUUAUUCUGUCUGCUCUACAGUAUCCCCACAAGGAAACAUCAAACCUAAACUCCCCCUGGUACCACCAUGUCUCCUACCUUAAAAAGGCACUUGUUCCAAAUUUCCAAUCCUGGACUUCCACCAUGCCCACCAAACUCAAAAUUUCUCACCAACCCUCUUCUUCUUUUACUAAUCAUUAUUCUCUCUCAAGUUUUUAUCUCAAACCACAGAUACCGCUUCUACAUCCAAGCGACAUGACACCGGGAUGACACCACCCACUCUCAGUUUAUGGGUCAAGGCGAUUGCCCUUCCACUGGCUGCAAGCGGUCUGUCACCCUUAACAUUACUGGAUUCAACCAAGCCACCUCCAAUACUUCGUAGAGUCCCUGCUACAGGACCGGUGGCUGAUACCAAGAAUCUCCUCCAUCUAGGACUGAUUUGAUGCCAUCGAGGACUUGUGGCUUCAAGGAACUUUUAUGGACUUUACCCCACCACAGUAGUUGUCUGUAGCCACUGAGUGUUAUUUCUGCCCUGGUGUUCUCAGACCUGUCCCCCGAACAUUCCUCCACUUCCCCUUCUAGGUCUAACGCCGCCCACCAUUAAGCAGGAAGAAGCCAGAGGACUUUACGCCCGUCCCCCGUGUCACUUAGAAAAACAAAAAGGGAGGAAUGUUGGGUGCAGAGCAGGCUGAACUGUGUUGUCUGCUGGGCAGGCUGAACAGAUGUUGGCUGCAAGAUAGCCCACGCACUCAAACCCCCCUCUAUCUGGUCCUUUAUCACCUGUUUGCCUCAAGUCUGAACAUUCAACCCUGCUUAAGGCUGAACACUUAACGCCCCCUUGGGCCAACAAGGCAGCUUGCAGACCCAGAGGCCCCAUUAGAUUUGGGCUAUAAAAACUCCCUCCUGCCAGGCCCCCCUCUCUCUUGCUCUUUCUCUCUUGCUCUCUCUCUCUUGCUCUUUAUCUUUCUUACGCGCGCUCUCUGUCUCUCUCUUGCUCUUGCUCUCUCCCUGUUCAUCUCUUCUCUUUUCUCUCUCUCUCUUUCCUUCUUUCCUUUCUCUUUGUUGCACUGCUGCAAUAAAGAUCUUUUGGUUGCUCCGAGUGUUGUGG